AAAUUGUAUAAUUGAUAGACCAGAGUAGUAUUAGUUAGGGUCUUGAAACUCAAAAAAUUUGGCGGUAUUUUAGUCUAUUUAGAGGAACCUGUAGUAUAAUCGAUAAUCCACGAUGGACCUCACUUAAUUUUGUUUUUCAGUUUGUAUACCGCUGUUAUUUGAAGAUUUUAUAAGAAUAUUAAUUUUCAAGAUUUUUGAUUAAAGAAUAUAUCAGGUCAAGGUGCAGCUUAUGAUUAAGUAUUUAUGGGUUACAAUAAAAUUAUUUAAACGAAUAAAAAUAUGAAAUUAUUUUUUGAAGGUGGAUUUAAUAGUAAAUUUUUAAAGAUAAAAGAAUUGAUU
rnacentral:rRNA from 1 species